UUUUUUUUUUUUUUUUUUUGAGAUGGAGUCUCACUGUGUUGCCCUUCCAGGCACUUAUGAGGAGUGUGCAGUGGUGUGAUCUCGGCUCACUGCAACCUCCACCUCCUGGGUUCAAGCAAUCCUCCCAACUCAGCCUCCUGAGUAGCUAGGAUUAUAGGCAUGCACCACCACACCUGGCUAUUUAUUUAUUUAUUUAUUUAUGUAUUUUUAGUAGAGACAGGGUUUCACACUAUGUUGGCCAGGUUGGUCUCAAACUCCUGACCUCAAGUGAUUCGCCUGCCUUGGCCUCUCAAAGUGUUAGGAGUAUAGGCAUAAGCCACCACGCCCAGCCCAUCCCAGGUUUUAUAGUACAUACAUGUUUUUGUUUUUACUUAUCCUCUCUAUAUCAAUCAAUCAAUCUAUCUAUCUAUUUUUUAUUUAUUUAUUUUUUGAGACAGGCUCUCACUCUGUCACCCAGGCUGCAGUGUGUGAUCAUGACUCACUGAAGCCUUGACCUCCGGUGCUCAAGUGAUCCUCCCACCUCAGUCUCCUGAGUAGCUGAGACUAUGGGCACACACCACCACACCCAGUUAAUUUUUUUUUUUUUUGUAGAAACAGGGCCUCACUAUUUUGCCCAGGCCAGUCUCAAGCUCCUAGCUUCAAGCAGUCCUCCCACCUUGACCUCCCAAUGUGUUGGGACUACAGCCGUGAGCCAAGAUGCCAGGUGUUUUUACUUAUCUUUAUGACUUUAUCUUUCAAAAUUCCAAACACACAUUCACCUUGACCCAGCCAUCCCACUUCCAGAAACAUCUAAUGAUACUCCCACCUGUGCAAAUAAUCUGUGCAGGUGGCCAUUGCCUACGUGGUCUGUAACAGCAAACUACUCAGGUGCCCAUCUUACGUACUCAUAAGAAAUAAUCUUCAAGGUGUAUUUUUAUGUGAAAAGAGAAGCUGCACAACAGCAAGCAGAGCUUGUUACCAUUUAUGAGAAAAGAAGACAAACAUACGUGCUUGUGUGUUUGUGCUCUGGAAGGGCUUAUGAGGAAAGAAUAACAUUGGCCGGGAGGGAGAGAGACGGCUGGGUGGACAUGGGCCCUGGGGACUUUUUUUUUUGUUUUUUUUUGAGAGGGAGUUUCGCUCUUGUCACCCAGGUUGGAGUGCAAUGGAGCGAUCUCAGCUCACUGCAACCUCCGCCUCCUGGGUUCAAGCGAUUCUUGUGCCUCAGCCUCCCAAGUAGCUGGAAUUACAGGUAUGCACCACCAUGCCCAGCUAAUUUUUGUAUUUUUAGUAGAGAUGGGGUUUCACCAUGUUGGCCAACCUGGUCUCGAACUCCUGACUUCAGGUGAUCCACCUGCCUCAGCCUCCCAAUGUGCUGGGAUUACAGGUGUGAGCCACUGUGCCCAGCCCCUGGGGACUUUUUAUUAAGAGAGAGGAUUCUUCUCUCCUCCUGGCCAGUUAAGCCCAGCUCUGGAUAUGCAGCCACAGGAGGCCAGCCUCUCCAACUGCAGUUUGCCCCAGACGAGGACAAGCAUGGCCCCUGUUUCAUGGAGGAGUUGAGGAAUCACAUCAGACUCAGAACAAUGUGCAGAUAGGGGACCCCUGCACCCCCUGCCUCCAUCAUCCAGAAAUAUGACCCACCCUGGGGCUUGGGGAUGACGCCUGCCAGCAUGCUCUAAAGGGCUCAAAAAAGUCCUGGUUCUAACAUGCAGCUAGUUCACUUUAGAAACUCAAUUAAUUCACAAGAGGAAAUGGCCAUAGAGAUUUCUACAUGGAAAAAAAAAAAAAGGGAAUGUAAAAUCAGAAGAUCACUACUACCAAAAUACCUGACAGAAGAGAAAAAACAACAAAGAUGCUACUGAGGUUUUUGGUUUGUUUGUAGAGAUAGGGAUCUUGCUAUGUUGCCCAGGUUGCUCGAACUCCUGGCCCCAAAGUGAUCCUCCCACUUUGGCCUCCCAGAGUGCCUGACAAGACUGCUAUCCUGUUGGAAGAGCUCUGGACCUGGCUUGGAGAUGUGGGCUCCCUCUGGAUUCUGCUGUCACUGACAGCUCUCGGGUCUCACCCAGGUGAGCUCUGGACUCCUUCCUGUGUUGCCUUGGCGGAUCCCAGACAGCUCUGUGCCCAGAAAGCCCCCCUCCGGCUGUCAGGGCUGUGUCCCCCAGAACUGCACAGUGCCCAGGGCAUCGCUCACUGGGGCAGUUCCACUUCCUAGGCCCAGAUGCAUGGGUUGAAUCAUGGCCCGCCUAAAAGAUGUUGAAGUCCUAACUCCCAGUAUCUGUGAAUGUGAAUUAGGGUCUUUGCAAGGACCUAUUUGCAAAGGUAGCCUGAGGACCUGAGGUUACCUUGACUGCCGCUAAGCCCUGAGGUGGUGGGAACCCUCCUGACCACUGAGUUUGAGGGCCUGGGCCAUUGUGAAGGACCAGCCUUGCGUGGCACCUGAGGGAGAACCCACAGAUGGACGGCAGAAGGACAGGUAGAGGAUGGAUGCCCAGCCUGAGGCCCUGCAGCACCCGUGGUGGCUCCUCCUGUGCUUUCUGCCCUGGCCCUCGGGUUGCUGUGUGGGGCCACUGAGUCAGCAAAGACGUACACACGCAGAGCCCAUGGAGCUCGCUAGGUGUUCACAUGUCACUUCCACAAACAAGUCCUGGGUGGCACCAAGCCAGGCUCCGGGGCACAGGGGAAAGGCAUUGAGUGUGGGCUCAGAGCCAGUUCCACCCACCCCUGCUCGGGGGACCUUGGGGAGGUGGUCAACUUCCUGGAGCUCUGGACUCCCCCCGAAUAACAGGGAUGGCAGGGUGGUCGUGAUGAUCAAGAGGAGGCCUGGGGCACCCGACCAAACCGCAUGUGGCUCCUUCACCAUGCGGAAGCUUUUCCAGAACUUCCUGUGUGUCAGAGGGAGUGUGGGCAGUGAACAAAACCCAUACGGUCCUUGCCUCGGGGGCCGACACCACACGGGGAGCACGGGGGUGAGAAGGAGAGGGGAGAUGGCUCAUAGGCGGGGCAUGGAUCUGUGGAUGGCUGCCCCAGAGAACCCCCAAACUGAUAGAACAUGGCAAGUGUCCUAGGAGCGCUUAUGAGGAUGAGGAAUAACUGGUUUUAUGGGAAGGGAGGGAUGGGGGUGCGGGGCACCUGGGAGGUUGAGCUAAGCUGUGGAGUAGGGAAUGACCUCCCAGCCCCUCCAGCUCCCGCAGUCAGGCCAGUGAGUGGCAAAACAAGCAGCUGCAGCAGGUUGCCUGAGGCUCCCAGGCAGCGUGAGGCACACCCAGCCCAGGGCCGGCCCUCCAUGCGGCCUGGGGCAGAAGUCCCACCUCUCCAAGUCUGCAGAACCAGGCAGGGGUUGACCCACCGGGCUGUCCCACUCUGCGCUAUGUCCCUCAGAGCACUGAGACUCAAGCUGGGGCACCCCCAAACCCUGCACAUCUCCACUUGGUCAUUCCUAGGCUUCAAAAGGGCCCAUUUUCCCAUCCCUUCGUCAGCUCAGCUGCUCUCAAGGCUUUCUAUUGUCCACACUCCUCUCAAACUGUGGCGUUCUUGCAGCCAGCAUCUGGAGGGGAAAGCAGGGUUUGUCUUAGGUGUCUCUAGUUCAGCCUCCCGUCUGCCGCUGUAACAGCAGCAGCGCACGUGCAGAAUGGACCAGUACGUGAGAAGGCUGUGUUCUGCACCUGCUUGUCCUCAUUCCUCACUCCUUUCAGCUGAAAGGUGAUGACGUUCCUCCUGGCAGCAUGUCCGUGUGUGGUUUAAGGGGAUGGCAUCGUACUCCUCUCUGGCACGUGGCCAGAGAGAACCAGCUGUGAGCAGAAUGAGACAGCUGCUGCUAUGGCCUCAACUGUGCUUCCCCCAAAUUCCCAUGUUAAAGUCCUAACCCCAGGUCCCUCAGAAUGGGACUGUACUUGGAAACACAGUCUUUAAAGAGGUCAUUAGGUUAAAAUGAGGUCACCAGGGUGGGCCCUAAUCCAAUAUGACUGGUGUCCUUAUAAGAAGAGGAGAUGAGGACACAGACACACAGGGGAAACCGUGUGAAGGCACAGCAAAAUGACAGCCAUCUGCAAUUCUAGGAGAGGGGCCUCUGGAGGAAACAACCCUGCCAACACCCAACCCUGCCAACACCCAACCCUGCCAACACCUUGGACUUCUGGCCUCCAGACCGUGAGAAAACAGAGUUCUGUAGUUUAAGUGCCCAGUCUGCAGUCCCGUGUUACAGUAGCACAGCAGCCACCCUUGGGGAACUGACCUACAGCUGACAAACAUGUGUUAUCGGUGUCUCUGGGGCAGGAGUGAUGCCAGGUACGUUACACCUGCUCUCAGCAGGGACAGCCAGAAGCAGCAACCAUGGCCUGUGGGGCCCAUUUUGUCAGAUACUUUACCUAUUAGUCACGCUUCACCACAAGUAAACCAACCCUGGGAGAGCCCCGGAACCUCUGAGAGGCAAAGCCAGGGCUUGGACCCAGGCGGUCUGGCCUCCUCCCCAGGCCUUGCAUGGGCAGCAGAGGGGAGGCUGGCCCAGGCAAGGGCGACAUGGUGAUGGACACAUUGUUGGCUAGUGGCAGGCCCUUUCUGCCUGAUUUGCACCCCUGCAUUUUUCAUUAUCAAAAUGAGCCACCUUCUGUGAAGUUCUAGGCCCUGGGAGUUGAGGAUCACUGCCUUAAGAAUCCACUCACCUCAGUGAAAACCAAAUCACCUCUCAGAACGAAGGGAGAAAUUUAUCCCAGGAUGGAUCGGUGAUUUAUGUUCUUACCGAUCCCAUUGGAAUGCCAAACUCAUAACACUUAUCUGCCUGAAAUCACAGAUGCGUAUAGAAAGGGAGGUACCAGAUUAGGGGCAGUGCCAAACCCAGUGAGCACACCGCUAGAAGGUAACAGGCGGAGUGCAUCAUGGUCUGCUGGGGAGAAGCUCCCUGCAUUCCCAGCACCUUCCUGCGUGUGCCAGAGGGCAGACGUGUGCGCCUGCGGCCUCCUGCCUCACUCAGCACCUCCUCUGGAAGGGCUUCCUACCCUUCACCCUCUCCCAGGUGACCCAGCUGGGCCUGGCACAAGGUGGGUGUCUGUGUUGGGUGAAUGGACACUCUUGCUGUGGUUGCAGUUGCUGUGUAUACACACAUGCACAAGAACCUGCUUUAAGGUUUGGCUAACUCCAGAGGCAGGGAGGUUUGGACAAAGCUGGUAUUCCAGUGUGACCCACUUUCGGAAUGCAAGGGAGAGAAUUCAAGCCUCACAGAGAGGAGUGACACCAGCCAGGAGCCUCUGAGCUGUGUCCCAGGAGCCCCAGGGACCUUCCUAAGGCUUUGGGGGUCCACAGGAUGGGCAGGGGAGGAGGAAGGACUCUGGGCCUCCAGGCCCAGCACAGACCAGAGCAGCAACCCUCUGAUCUGUUUCUGCAUCUGUUCUCUUUCAAAGAAAGGAUUCUGCUGAUGCAAACAAAGUCUGAUGCCAAGACCUGCUCAUCCUAAGGUUCCAGGUCUAGCAGCAUAAACACAACAGAAGAAUGUGGAGGCAGAAGAGUGUAGGGACCCAAAAAUAGUACAAUACCUUUGCCGCUUCCUUUUGAAAAAAUCCCCACCCCAACAAGGAGAACAAGAAAAAGAAAAGAAAGACUGUGCCUAUGACCUUGAUCACAUCCACAAGCCCCAACACAUAUCAGUGGGAAGUGGGCAGGGAGAUGGCAAACAGCUGAACAGGGAGGGGGGCCAGGAAGGAGAAACAGGGCAACUGGGGCCCCAAAAUUCCAGAAGGCUCAGGGAUAGGGUAUCCCCAGAGCCUCAGGAGGUGUGGGAGGCAGAGUCUGAAGGAAUGUGCAAGAAUAGAGCCUGUGCCGAGACCAUGUGCUCUUCUUACUCUAUUGCCUUUUCUUCCAGGGCACACAGCCGGACUACAUUUCCCAGCCUCCCUUGCAGCUAGGUGGUACCAUGUGACUACACUCUGGCCAAUGGGAUGUGGCCAGAGUGAUGACCACACUUCUGGCCUGAGCCUCCAUAACUGUCAGGGCAGCCCUUGCUGCACACGCCCUUUCCUGCCCUUUCUUGCUGGGCACCUGGAAGCAGACUAUCCAGGGGAGGACUUGGAGGCCCCAGAGGGCAUAGACCCUAAAGCAUUUCUCAACCAGGCUUUCUCAUCUGAACCACAGCCUGCAGUCAAUGACUGGUGUGCCCAUUUCCCCAACCAGUCAUGUACCUAAGGAUGGUGUGUAACUGGUUUCAUUCCAGGUAUGCAGGAGGAAAGUCGUUCCCUGCACACCAUGAUGCCUUUGCUGUGAGUCCUUGAUUCCCUCCUGGAACCCCGGCUGAGAAAGGCUGUGAGACGAAAGACCUUCUAAAAAGAAGAAACUUAAGUCCUUGCGUGACUGCGUGGAAUAGAGCCUUCGUCUCCUGCGGUGACAUCCCACUGCAACACAUCAGGAAACACCACUUCACUGGGCCAAGCAAAGGUUGGCACUUGCUUCUUACAGCAAUUAGCCACCCCUGACCAACAUGGAACCCUGUACUGCGACUCAGCGGUCAGAAGCUGCUACUGCGACAGGAAGAGGAAUGUGUGGGUGGCUGUCCCUGCACACCUUGUGCCUCUGCAGAUAUGAGUUCACCCGUGUGGCACGCUCGCCUCAGCCACCCUGCCAACCCCUACUCAUCCACCAAAGCCCAAUGCAAAGACUGGGAGCUCCUGGGGGAAGGAGAAUCCUUCAUUUGUCCCAGUCAGAGAAGCUGCUCAGCGUGUUCCAGCCUCAGGGCCUUCGCACCUGCAGUUCCCUCCACCUGUCUGCUCUUCCUUCCCCUCAGUGUCUGCAAGGCUCACUCCCUCCAAGUUCAUGUUCUUGCUCAACAGUCGUGGGGAAACCUCCUCCAAGGACCCACCUCAAAGAGCAUCCACCCUCACCCUCUGGUCCCUCACCCUGACCCCUUUCUCAGCAUUUCCUGCCACCUGGCACUAUAUUUACAAAAUCUCUUGACUGUCUGCCUCCUUUUGUUCACCACUGUACCCCCACAGGGCCCAAAACAGGGCCUGGCACACAAUUCAGUCAAUAAAUAUGUUUGAAUGAA